rnacentral:rRNA from 1 species
UACAGAGGGUGCGAGCGUUGUUCGGAAUUACUGGGCGUAAAGCGCGCGCAGGCGGCUUCUUAAGUCCGAUGGUGAAAGACCGGGGCUCAACCCCGUGUCAGCCAGGGAUACUGGGAGGCUGGAGACAGGUAGAGGCAAGCGGAAUUCCGGGUGUAGCGGUGGAAUGCGUAGAGAUCCGGAAGAACACCGGAGGCGAAGGCGGCUUGCUGGACCUGGUCUGACGCUGAGGCGCGAAAGCGUGGGGAGCGAACAGG